rfam:Trichobilharzia regenti genome assembly, scaffold: TRE_scaffold0000335
GUACUGCUGAAGAGUCUAAAAGUAGGACGAAACAGCUGUCCUGUAC